rnacentral:tRNA from 1 species
CGGGGUGUAGUGCAAUGGUAGCACGAAUCCUUUGGGAGGAUUUAGUCCCGGUUCGAGUCCGGGCACCCCGACCA